AGCGGCUUGGCAGUGCUGUGCCUUCUGGGGUAGAUAAUGAGCCAUUUUGUAUCUCUCAGUCCUGGCUUUCUCACUUGCUUGUGCUGGCUGGAGUGCUAGGAGGCCCUGUGUGAAUGGUUUUCUUGACCUGCGUGAUAAAUCCUAACAUGAGGAGAACAUUUGAAAAAAAAGUCUUGACUUGCACAUACCUUUGUCUCAAAAAGUGAAGGGAGCUUUGGAGGAGUUCUAGUGAGAAUUUUUUGAAGUCAGUAAUUGUAUGGGCCAUCUGCUGUGAGGGGGAGAGCUGAAAAAUGAGUGUUCACAUGUGUGGUGCUGAUCUGAACUAAGAUCUAGUCCAUGGAAGCCUUUCAUAAGUGUGGCUACGAACUGGAUUUAUUAAUAUGUGAGAAGAUUCUUCCCACCUUCAGUCUGAUGUUGCCAUCCUUUGUGAAGAGGAGAUCAUUAUAUUCUAUUCAUCUCAGCAGUCUGCAACAGCAGGAGGUUCUGCAUGUGAUGUUGGAGCUGAGCAAGUGACCUUCUGAUGCAUACCAACCUCUCAUGACAAAUGUUCCAGUAAACACCCUACCCUGCUUCCAUCAGUGAUUUAACCCCAUGGCUUCCACUGAUCUCUGCUUUCCUGAGCCACCUGCUGUGAUGGUGUUGUGGUCAGUAGGGAAACAAUUGACUGAUCAGAACAGCUCUGUCACAAAAAGGCCUGAUUCUUGAGUGACAUGUUGCUGGGAUUGUUAGGGCACUCUGCAGAAGAGCUGCUGUCAUACAGAGGCAUCUGUGGUCCCUGAUACUUCCACUCAGUUUUUGCACUGUAUCUGGUUUCAUUCUUGUAAUUUUUGUCUGCACUCAUUGUCUCAGCCUCUAAAGCAAAAAUCCAGGAAAAACUUGGGGAGAAUUGUUCUUUCCUCUCACAUGCUGGGAUUUCUUUCCCAGUGGGUGGUGUUUCUUAGAUCACAGAUCCACUCAAGUGCUCACAGAGCCCACUUCUGAUGUGUUGUUGAUGUUCCUCUUGGAAAGGAAGAAAGGACUUUGGAUGUUUGAUUUCUAAUAUCUUUAGAGUUGAAGAAAUGAGUGUGCUUUCUCCUGGAGCCAAACUCCUGUUUUGUUGUCUUGGGGGGUAAAUCAACUGCUCUUCUCAGUAGCUUUGCCUGUGGCAAAAGUUUGGGCAUAAAUCUGGAGUAAUGUUUAGUAACUGUGCUUAACAAUAGCUCCUCCUGACACCAUACAGGAGUGCUUGUUUCACAUGGGAAUGUCCACCCAGUUUGGGGGAAUUGGACCCUUAGUUCUUGCACAUCCACCCUUAAAGCCACAAAAUCAUCCACUGCUUUUUCUUCCCCUGUUGUGACAAUGUAAGGCACACAAAUCAGCAGGUUUAAACAGUGGGGAUUUGCAGUGGUGACCUGUUUGAGUGGGUCAUGAAUUGUCCUGUGAUGGUGGCCUCUGUGGCACUCAAAAGCAGCUGACAAAGUGGGCACUCAUUAUGGGCCAAACCUCAGCCACUUAAUAUGUGUGGUUUUCCUGCUCAAAUGUAUUUAAACAAGAAAUAUUUCUUAAUGAAAGACUGAUGGUGCCCCCUAGACCUUCUGUGCUACCCAUCACCUCACUGGGGUAAUUUUGACUGAAAAUAAGGCAGGUUGAGACUGGAGAGUGGACAAAACAUGUGCUUUAUUAAAAAAAAAAAUUGUCAAACCACAAAGCAAAAAACCCCACUAUGUUGUUUGUGUGUACAUGUCCUUUUUCUCGAUGCCCAAAUUAGUGUUCAGAAAUGUGUAUCAUUUGUAAGAAAUGAAAUAAAAUUCUCCUGACUUGUGAGGGUUUCUGAUGACAGACAGAAAGGUUAAAGCUGGUAAACUUGUUUUAAAAGCAUGCUCCCAGAUCACAAGCCUCUGAAAAUGAGUGUUGGGUGCUUAGAGGAGCUUUAGGAGCAUGCUUUUGUUAAAUAGCUGCUCUGAUCUUGCUUAUUCAGUCUUUAAAUUAAUGUGUAAAGGAUGCCCAUAAGCAACCAGCAGCUGAAUUGACUGUGAUUAGAUGGAUUAUUACUAUUACUCAGCCCAACAAGUUGCUAUAUGUUUUGUGUACUCAACCAAAUUUUGCUGUGCAGGCAAGUGGAAUGAUAUGCACAUGGGCUAUCAUAAAAUCCCUCAAAAUAUCCCAGGAUUAGACAAACAGAUUUAUGGAGCUGAAAUAGAAAGGAAUUGCUUGUGUAUCUAAAUUAGGCUUUCUGGCAUUUAUGAACUCAAAUAGCGUCUAUCUCAAAAUACUUUGUUUCAAGCAAGCAUCAAGUCAGUUGCUCCUUUUUUCCCCCUGCUAGGAAAUAAGAGUCAAUUUAGCAGAGCAUCAAACUGAUUAAAAAGACAUUAUCUGCUGUAGGGGCUCAUUUAAAGAGGUCUGGAGCUUCCACUGGGUUGCAGUGUUUGGUUGGAUUAAUUUCACACAAUAAAACUCCAAUCUCUUGGCUUUAAAAUUCUUUAACUCUUUCUUUUGGGGUGAAAUAACUAAGAAGUUCUAAAAGUUUAGAAGCAUGCAAAAUGCAGGAUGUUUUGUGGUGAUAAAGCAGCCCAGGAGGGUUUGCAUUAUAUGAUGAGGAAAAAAACUUGGCAUUAUGGACUGUGACCAGGUCCCAUAACCAGGCACUUC